rnacentral:misc_RNA from 1 species
CUUCCUCUCGUGCCGACGCUUAUUAUUUUUAUUUUCGUGUGCGUUUGUACCGCUGUGUUCACAUCAGGGAAGUCUGUGCCACGCAACCUCGCCUUCUCGUCUCUUUACUUGGCUCUAGCUUGACCAUGGCUGCGCCUCCACCGGAGGACGAACGGCCGACGAUGCUGCCGUUUUUGCCCGCGCAGGCAGCUCCACCUGCGGUUGAAACACCAGCAGAUACGGCCGCUGUGAGCACGGUGGAUACUAACAUUACAUCCUUCGAUGGGGAUUCGCCGCCGUCGGAGCGGCGUGCCAUGUCGUUUGAGGAGUUCCGCCAGUUCUACGUAGCAUCACGGAGGCUCAACUACCUCAGCAAUCAACGCAACGCAACUGAAGUGUCGGUAAGCCGAGAAGACGGAGGCGUGUUGGCACAUGACACUGUCAGCGCCGACGCGUUGGCCGGCGAGGCGGCUGGGCAGCGUGUCGUGGCGGGUACUCUUCGCCGACGCAUUGUCGGGACAAACGAGGACGGCCCUACGCCGGCCCAAACAGCAGCAGCAGCACCAGCCACGCCUCCACCGGCAGCACAAACACCACCACCACCAUUAGGUCACCUUGCUCGCGUUAUCCGCGCUGUCGGUGGGUGUUUGAACUGGCUGGCCAAUCGGGUCAUGCGCAACCGCGCGCACUUCCUCCAGCUCCUUCUUGUCUUCUUCGUCCUCUACGUCCAGGUCAAGUUGAGCAGGACUCAUAUGAUCUGCCUUCUCGUCUUAUACAUUACCGUGAAGGGCGCACAGGAGUUUGUGCGAAACUUCCAGAUCAGUCACGAGGCGGGGACCACCGGGGCACCGUCCUUGCUCGGUCGUCUUUUCAAGCCAGAGGGGCACGUAGGAUCUGUGUCGAAGCUGCGAAAGAUCGGCUACGUCGUUGCGAAGUGUGCGGAGGCUUUCCUGCUAAGCCUCUUUCCAACCUACUCCCUCGAGCACCUGGAGCGUGAGCUCUGCGCCGACGGCAUUGUGCGGUGAAGGCGCCGUGGGAGGCAGCGGGACUGCCUGCUGCUUUGCGCGUCUUGCCGUCUUCUGCAUCGCACCCCUGCUGUUGGUGUGCAUGUGUGCGUACUCUCUCGCCUCCUCGAAGUCUCCCUUCACCCGGCCACCGCCCAAUGAACAUCUGGUGCGGCUGCAGCUGCUCCUCGCAAUGGUGACGGUGAUCCUUUUCCCAGGGCGUGUUCGAGUGCUCGUGUAUGUGUGUCUGAUGCACCUCCGUGCGUGGUGCUUUCCCUCUCUUCUUGUGUCUUUCUCUUGGCUGUGCGAGGGCGUCCGCAUCCUUCUCCUCGCAGGCUCAUGGGCUUCUGCGGAGACACGACACCCCCUCCCCGUUUUCUGCAACGCGCCAGCUCUGCCACGCAACAGGAGUCAAACACCACUCCACACCACCACCACCACCCGCCAGUCUGCCACGGGCCCCGUCGCCUGGUGCGAAGCAUGCCGUUCGCACACGCGUUGCAGCCGUGCGCCGUCCCAGUCAGCUGAGAGCACGGCCUCUGCCUCACACGCUGCGCGCCACCGCUCCGCGGGCCGCCUCGCAGCCGGCUCCCCUCAUGCCGGUCGCCACCUGGUGCAUCCUCCUCGGCGUGGCACGCAGGCUCCCCAUCAGCAGGCAGUGAGGGCCGGGUGGAAUACGCUCGAGCUCGGUUGGCGCUGUGCCCAUCAUGCGGAUGCGCAAGCGUGUGCACCGUCGCGGGUCGCCCGCGAUGCCGCGCCAUCCAGCGCCUGACCGCCGGCAUACCAGCGGCGGUACAUCGCUGUGACCCCUCCGCACAUGCUAGGUACUUGAGCCUGGGACCGCCACAAGCGGUUCCGGCAUUGGCAGGGUGGGUGUGUACGGGAGGCCCUGAGAUGCCAUGCACCGAGCGGUGUACGCUUCUCGUCAUGAGUAUGAACAAC